rnacentral:rRNA from 1 species
CGGGUAGAGUAACACGUAGGGAUCUACCUUGAAGUGGGGAAUAACGGACCGAAAGGUUCGCCAAUACCGCAUGGGGUCGCGAGACCAAAGGUUGUUUCGAAAGAGAUGAUCGCUUUAAGAGGAGCCUGCGUUCGAUCAGGUAGUUGGUGAGGUAACGGCUCACCAAGCCGAUGACCGAUAGCUGUUCUGAGAGGAAGAUCAGCCACACUGGGACUGUGACACGGCCCAG